GCUGCGCUUCCCUCCGAGGCCCGCUGGGGCCGCGAGCUCGCCGAGGCUCCACGUGCGCGUCUCCCCGCACACCACCCGCGCGCACGCCCGCCCGCGCGCACGCCCCCGCCCGCGCGCCCGCCCGCGCCUUCGCGGAGGGAUCUGGGAGUGAAGCUUCGGCGUGGGCCUGGGUCGCAUAGAUGGAUGAUGUAGCCGCUCCAGAUCGUACUUGCACUCCUGUUUACUAGGAAAAAAAAA